AUACGUAGGUGGCAAGCGUUAUCCGGAAUUAUUGGGCGUAAAGAGGGAGCAGGCGGCAGCAAGGGUCUGUGGUGAAAGCCUGAAGCUUAACUUCAGUAAGCCAUAGAAACCAGGCAGCUAGAGUGCAGGAGAGGAUCGUGGAAUUCCAUGUGUAGCGGUGAAAUGCGUAGAUAUAUGGAGGAACACCAGUGGCGAAGGCGUCGAUCUGGCCUGCAACUGACGCUCAGUCCCGAAAGCGUGGGGAGCAAAUAGGAUUAGAUACCCUAGUAGUCCACGCCGUAAACGAUGAGUACUAAGUGUUGGAUGUCAAAGUUCAGUGCUGCAGUUAACGCAAUAAGUACUCCGCCUGAGUAGUACGUUCGCAAGAAUGAAACUCAAAGGAAUUGACGGGG
rnacentral:rRNA from 1 species